CCAACCAACCCAGAGAACACUCAAAGAAACCAAGCGAAGUGCAGUUUAACAGUCAAGUCACGAGGACAUUGCAUGCGAACAGUACCAGUAGCAAUAGUAACAAUAUAAUAUGACGCUACACAUUUACAUUUCCACUCACACACAACAUCCAUCAAUCCUGUUACUCAGUGCUGCUCAGAGACCUGCUGCUGGCAGCUUGUAUCCUCACUCACUCUAAGUUUGUAACCAUGUUCAGAAGAAAUGGUCACUUAGUUUCCCUUCAGCAAAGCCCUAGUGCCCUAGGCGGCCCUGUUUGUUAAAUACAGCUUAAAUGUAGUUUUGAAAAGCUAAGCAACUCUAAGAAAUCGUGAGUGAGCAGAGUUUUAAUCUUCUGGUAGUCACGGCCAGUUACGGAGCUACAGUGCAGACAACGACCAUCACUGCUCCUGCGGGCAUUCCCAUGAGGAUCCUGUACUCCAGAGGAGCAGAGCACUCCCUGUACUGAAACUCCACUUCCAGUUUCCUGCAGUGAACUGCACCGGCUCAGAAGUGAAGGGUCAGGCCGCCAAGUCUGCAUCUACGCUGAGGAGGACCAACUUACAUUUUAAGUCCUCGGGGGUUAAGGAGUCACUUUCCAGCAG